UACGUAGGGUGCAAGCGUUUGUCCGGAAUUAUUGGGCGUAAAGAGCUCGUAGGCGGUCUGUCGCGUCGGCUGUGAAAACCCGGGGCUCAACCCCGGGCCUGCAGUCGAUACGGGCAGACUAGAGUGCGGUAGGGGAGACUGGAAUUCCUGGUGUAGCGGUGAAAUGCGCAGAUAUCAGGAGGAACACCGGUGGCGAAGGCGGGUCUCUGGGCCGUAACUGACGCUGAGGAGCGAAAGCGUGGGGGAGCGAACAGG
rnacentral:rRNA from 1 species